rnacentral:rRNA from 1 species
UACAGAGGUCCCGAGCGUUGUUCGGAUUCACUGGGCGUAAAGGGCGCGUAGGUGGCAUGGUAAGUUUGAUGUGAAAGCUCAGGGCUUAACCCUGAAAUGGCAUUGAAUACUACUGUGCUGGAGGUUUGGAGGGGGGACUGGAAUUCUUGGUGUAGCAGUGAAAUGCGUAGAUAUCAAGAGGAACACCAGUGGCGAAGGCGAGUCCCUGGACAACACCUGACACUGAGGCACGAAAGCUAGGGGAGCAAACAGG